rnacentral:SRP_RNA from 1 species
GCGGGCGAGCGCCUCGCCAACCCGGUCAGGUCCGGAAGGAAGCAGCCGCAACGAGCCCCGCUUGGGUCGCUGUCCAGCCUC